UGGGGAAUAUUGCACAAUGGGCGCAAGCCUGAUGCAGCAACGCCGCGUGAGGGACGACGGCCUUCGGGUUGUAAACCUCUUUUAGUAGGGAAGAAGCGAAAGUGACGGUACCUGCAGAAAAAGCACCGGCUAACUACGUGCCAGCAGCCGCGGUAAUACGUAGGGUGCGAGCGUUGUCCGGAAUUAUUGGGCGUAAAGAGCUCGUAGGCGGUCUGUCGCGUCUGCUGUGAAAACCCGAGGCUCAACCUCGGGCCUGCAGUGGGUACGGGCAGACUAGAGUGCGGUAGGGGAGAAUGGAAUUCCUGGUGUAGCGGUGGAAUGCGCAGAUAUCAGGAGGAACACCGAUGGCGAAGGCAGUUCUCUGGGCCGUAACUGACGCUGAGGAGCGAAAGCGUGGGGAGCGAACAGGAUUAGAUACCCUGGUAGUCCACGCCGUAAACGUUGGGCGCUAGAUGUGGGGACCAUUCCACGGUUUCCGUGUCGCAGCUAACGCAUUAAGCGCCCCGCCUGGGGCAGUACGGCCGCAAGGCU
rnacentral:rRNA from 1 species